UACGUAGGGUGCAAGCGUUAAUCGGAAUUACUGGGCGUAAAGCGUGCGCAGGCGGCCUUAAAAGUCAGAUGUGAAAUCCCCGAGCUCAACUUGGGAACUGCGUUUGAAACUCUAAGGCUAGAAUAUGUCAGAGGGGGGUAGAAUUCCACGUGUAGCAGUGAAAUGCGUAGAGAUGUGGAGGAAUACCAAUGGCGAAGGCAGCCCCCUGGGAUAAUAUUGACGCUCAUGCACGAAAGCGUGGGGAGCGAACAGG
rnacentral:rRNA from 1 species